GGAGUGGAUGAGACGGUCGCUGCCCGGCACUCAACGCAGCGCCGCCGGUGGCGCCGGCGGUCGAGGGCGUUGCGUUGAGUGCCGGGGGGAGGAAAGUCCGGGCUCCACAGGGCAGGGCGCUGGGUAACUCCCAGUCUCGGUGACGAGCAGGACAGUGCCACAGAAAGCAAACCGCCCCGCGUCAGCGGGGUAAGG
rnacentral:RNase_P_RNA from 1 species